AGGGCUUGACAUAAACAGGAAUACUUAAGAGAUUAAGUAGCUCUUCGGAGUCUGUUUACAGGUGGUGCAUGGUUGUCGUCAGCUCGUGUCGUGAGAUGUUGGGUUAAGUCCCGCAACGAGCGCAACCCCUAUAGUUAGUUGCCAGCACGUAAAGGUGGGAACUCUAGCUAGACUGCCGCGGAUGACGCGGAGGAAGGUGGGGACGACGUCAAAUCAUCAUGCCCUUUAUGUCCUGGGCUACACACGUACUACAAUGGCUGUAACAGAGGGAAGCGAAGGAGCGAUCUGGAGCAAAACCCAAAAAGCAGUCUCAGUUCGGAUUGAAGGCUGAAAUUCGCCUUUAUGAAGCCGGAAUUGCUAGUAAUGGCAGGUCAGCAUACUGCCGUGAAUACGUUCCCGGGCC
rnacentral:rRNA from 1 species